CCAGAUCUUCUCUUCUUCUGAAUUAAAAAGGAAAAAAUUUCAUUCGACCACAAAACCUGUGCCGCUUCUAUAUUCUUUUCAUCAUAUUACUCAAAACAAAUAAAGAAAAAAAAAAAAAAUACUUGUGUUUUCUUCAAAGUUUAAGGUAUCGGAGCAUUUGCUACGAGUAUCAAACAAGCUAACAUAACCAUCUUCAGACACAACAAGAAUGUGUGCAAAUUUCGUAGUCUGCAAAACAAAAUAAAUAAGGAGCCCAGGUUAUAUUUGCAGUUUCAUCACAACGUUUGAUAUUGUAGAAAAUUGCAAACAAAUCCAGCCAAUGGAGCUGCAAGUGCAAUCACAGUGAUUUCUAAAACCUCAACAGCCCACUCAAUUCUAGUAAAUUGAGGACAAAUGAGGCCAGUGCAGCCAGGAUUACGGGUGGGCAAACUGCAUUGUUUGUACUGUACUAUAAACCAAUUACAAUUAACAAUAAAAUAGUUCAAAUAAGUUAGAUUGAACUAAAAAAUAGUUCAAAAAAACUGAACUGAACUAUUAUUUUAGUCUAGUUAACUGCAAUAUAGUUAAUUCACCUGGACAAAUUAGAGGCAAUUACAGACUUUUCUACUAAAGUGAGUUUCUUAAACUAAGACUGAAAUUCAUCAAGUUCAAGCUCAAGAAUAGCACACCCAAAUACUUCUAGAGAUACCCAGACUAGAAAAUCAUCAAGCCAUGAGGCAGCUGGCUUGGCAAUAUAACUUGUGUCUAGUACUAGGGUCGCUUUAGCAAUCUACAAGGUAAAGAGACGUCAUCCAUUAAAGGGAGUAUCCAAGUUAUCACAUGUAGGAAAAGAUCAACAAUUACUUUAGCACACAAGUAGAUUGAUAGGCAAUUGAUAAGAAAUUGUAAACCACAAUCCUUAAAACUGAUGGUUCGCAAUAGGUUUAACACUAUAAACAAUAACAUACUACUACUGCUAGCAUAGAUGGGAUCGACAAUACAAAAUUACACAUAGUUAGGAAUCCCAUCCAUUUUUAAGUGAAAUCAUGAACUAUGAUUAACCUUCGAAAUUGCAUAAAUGAGGCAGAGCAAAACACAAGUCAGAAAUAGUGAGUAUUCAUAUUAUAACUAAUAAAAUAUAAAAAGGGAAUAUCAACCACUGCAUGUAUUUUAUCUAAUAAUCAUUUGAAUUGGAGAUAACGGAAACAUGGGAGUGACAACACUCGUUCUCAUUAAUGGAAUAUCAACCACAGCAUAUGUUUUAAUCCAGACAUCAAUCCUGAUCAACAAGUUCUAUAAACACUUACGUAGCAUUCGGUGCACGAACAAAACAAAAAUGGAAUAUCCUAUUCUGUUCCGUGCACUUUUAAGCAGAACAAAAAUGAAAUAUUUUCUAACCUUAAGUUGUCCUAAAAUAUUUUUAAACGACCCAAAUAUGAAAUAAACUCAUAUUCUGUUAUGCACAUAUAUCAAAUGUUAUUAUGCUACCUUAUUUUGACUAAUAGAUUUACCAUUUACAACAUCUACAUUUGCUAAGACGGGUCAAACAUAAAAGAAAGAUUACUGGAAAAAGAGAGAACUAGCUAUGAGGGGAGGGAAAUCAGAAUUGGUCGAGAAGACCAACUUGUGUACCCUUGUAAAUUUUGAGUUCUCAGGACAAGGAAGAUGAAACGAGAAAGGGUAACCCCAUAGGCUCAGAGAUGGACAGAGUUUGACAUUUAUUAAAUGCCUCUUUUUUCUUGGGAAAAGGUAAAUUGAUAAUUAUGCUGACAAAACUUGAACAAAACAAUUGAUAUGGAUUCGUGCAACCAAAACUAUGAUUGUCCAACAGUGAUGUUAGACUCUAUUCAAAUUGCCUUUGAGUGGUAUUGAUAUAGAUUGAAUUCAACAGCAACAUGUUAGUUCAAAUACAGGAAACAACGAACAUAGUCACGCCUAAUAGGCAGUACUUAUAUGUGACAGUAAGAAAAACUACCAAAAUUCAACACACCAAGUACAUAUUCAGAAUUAUUUGACUAGAACUUGGCAUAAAUGUAAUUACUAUAAUCUACAACCAAAUAUAAACCAAUUCCCUUCAGAUAAUUCCUCGAAAGCAACACUGGUUAACAAUUAAAUGUAUUAACUAAAACAAACAUAUAAAUAAACCAGAGAUGAAAAACAAGUAUAUAACACUUCUAUGUUUAUAGGAGUUUCUGUUGCAUGCACACGACAACUUUUACAAAAGUAUUGUCACUGUCAUUACAAUGCUCUCACAACCCAAGCAGUAUUACCAUACACUUAUAAUUUUAAUUUUAAAGGCAGUCCAUUAUAAAAAUCAAGUAGAUCACUAGAAAUUAAGCUACAUAAAAGUCACCUGGAAAUUAAGAGAGUUGUUAGAUAUCAUUAAAAUUUCCCAUAUAUUGAUCUUGAGACUUCUUUUUUCUAUAAAAUAUUUCUGUAAAGCUUUUCAGUGCUAGGUAGGAAGAAUAAAUAUUUCUUUAAACUUUUGGAUUUAAACUGACUCCCAUGCGACUCAAACAAUUAAAUCAUAACAAGACAAUGUAGUAGUAGGUGAGGAUUAAUAUAUGGAUCAGACAAUGUUCUUUGGCUAGAUUAAGGACCUUGAAGGUUGUGAUUAGACUGGGCUUAUCAUGGUAACUCCACGUAAUAAUCCAUCCAAAUAGGGCAGUAAUCAUUCCUAAAUUAGAAAAACACACAACCAGUUGACCUUUCACAAAGAUAUUCAAAAUCAAAGCCUCCAGGCAUACAAAAAAGAAUUCCCCAGUUUCUUUGUCCACCUUCUUUGGAUUCAGGAUGAUCGAGUGUUCGCUUCUUAUCCUCUCCAAAAUUUGUGAGAGUAGACGAAGAAAAGAAGAAGGAAUGCAGCACAACCUCAAAC
rnacentral:lncRNA from 1 species